CAAUGUUGUUUGUGAGGAUUUUUGAGGUGUGAGGUAGAGCACAUUAGGAUCACCUUUUUUGCAAACUCACAUUUUAUGAGAAUGCCAAGGGCACCACCUGUCUGUAGCAUGAUGUCCUUCAGUGUUUUAACUCCAUACUUCAAAGAGGAGGUGCUCUUUUCACCAGAAGAUCUUCAUAGGAAAAAUGAGGAUGGUAUAUCAAUACUGUUCUACCUACGGAAAAUAUAUCCAGAUGAAUUUAGGAACUUCCUUCAACAGAUAGAUUUUAAACUGAAGGAUGAAGAAGAACUUAAAGAAACGAUGGAUGAGAUCUGUAAUUGGGCAUCUUAUAGGGGUCAAACUCUCACCAGAACAGUAAGAGGAAUGAUGUACUACAGAAAGGCACUUGAAAUCCAAUGCCUUCAAGAUAUGAUAGAUCCUGCUAAAGUUGACCAAGACAGAUCAAUAGGAUCCUACCAAGAGUUGCAAUCUGAUAUUGAAAUGGCACAAGCUAUUGCUGAUAUCAAAUUCACCUAUGUUGUCUCAUGUCAAGUUUAUGGCAUGCAAAAGACAUCAAAGGAUUUAAAUGAAAAAGGCGCUAUCAGAAUAUCCUCAGUCUCAUGAUAAUGAACCCAUCACUACGAGUUGCUUUCAUUAAUGAGGUCGAAGCUCCAACCAGAAAUGGAGCAACUGAGAAGACAUUAUUCCGUUCUUGUCAAAGGUGGUGGAAAGUAUGAUGAGGAAAUUUACAGCAUAAAGCUUCCUGGCAAUCCAACAGAUAUUGGAGAGGGAAAACCUGAAAACCAAAAUCAUGGACUUAUCAAGUUUGAUGUCGGCAACGUGGUCAUGGUGACCGGCGGGAGGAACACCGGGCGUGUAGGAGUGAUCAAGAACAGGGAGAAACACAAGGGCAGCUUUGAGACCAUCCAUGUCGAGGACUCCAUGGGCCACCAGUUCGCCACCUGCAUGGGCAACGUGUUCACCAUCGGCAAGGGCAACAAGCCGUGGGUGAGCCUGCCCAAGGGCAGGGGUAUCAAGCUCAGCAUCAUCGAGGAGUAGAGGAGGCGCGAUUUCAUUGCCCAGGCUGCUGCCAACGCAUAAGUUCUCUGAACGUGCUGCUUGGAGUUUUUUGCUAUGUCUAGUUUUCUCCUAUUUGUUGUACAUGAAAAGAUAGGAGAAGAUAGAAUGGAAUUUAAAUUUGGUGGCCGCAAAAGUGUGGAAACUUAAAUUCAUAUAAAGUUAGGCUUAACAUUAGUGCAAACAGUUGUAUUUUAGUUUAGAUUUAGAGUACACUUAUGUAUGAGUUGUUUGACAAUGCUUAUUUAUGAGAUAUUGAAAGGUACUUAUUUAUAUUA